AACGCAUAUUGCACUCGAGCUACGGCGAGAGUAUGCCUGUCUCAGCGUCAGCACACCCCCAUCGCCUCUCCUCCUGAGGAGAAGGCGGAAGUGGCCGUCUCGGUUUCUUGGAAAAAGAAACUGGGUGGGCUGAAGCACAGGGCCCAGCGCGGCCGGGCGAUCCCUUUCGUUGAAGGGCGCCAGCUUGGUAGGUGGCUCUCUGCAGCCGCAUGCCGCUGUCGCUCCUUUCGAUUCGAAAGGUGUUUCACUCCAGCUCGCGUCGGUCAUAACUCACUCAACAACAGACCUUUGACCUGAGAUCAGACAAGACCACCCGCUGAACUUAA
rnacentral:misc_RNA from 1 species